UCGCAGAAGCAAAUGCUCUUCUGAAAUGGAAAUCCACUUUCACGAACCAGAGUCACUCAUCAAAGCUGUCUUCAUGGGUCAAUGAUGCAAACACCAAUCCUAGCUUUUCCUGCACAAGUUGGUAUGGUGUUUUUUGCAACUCACGAGGGAGUAUCGAAAAGUUAAACCUCACUGACAACGCUAUAGAAGGUACUUUCCAAGAUUUCCCCUUCUCUUCUCUCCCAAACCUUGCUUCAAUUGAUCUUAGCAUGAACCGUUUCUCUGGAACCAUCCCUCCUCAAUUCGGAAACCUCUCUAAACUCAUCUACUUUGACCUCUCCACAAACCACUUAACUAGAGAAAUCCCACCUGAGCUUGGCAAUUUGCAAAACCUCAAAGCCCUCUCUCUUUCUAAUAACAAACUUGCCGGUUCAAUUCCUUCUUCCAUAGGGAAACUCAAGAACUUGACGGUUCUUUAUCUUUAUCAGAACUAUCUAACUGGUGUCAUUCCCCCGAAACUAGGCAACAUGGAAUCCAUGACAGAUUUAGAGUUAAGUGAGAACAAACUAACCGGUUCAAUUCCUUCUUCCUUAGGAAAUCUCAAGAACUUGACGGUUCUUUAUCUUUAUAAGAACUAUCUAACUGGUGUCAUUCCCCCGGAACUAGGCAACAUGGAAUCCAUGAUCCAUUUAGAGUUAAGUGACAACAAACUUACCGGUUCAAUUCCUUCUUCCUUAGGAAAUCUCAAGAACUUGACGGUUCUUUAUCUUUAUAAGAACUAUCUAACUGGUGUCAUUCCCCCGGAACUAGGCAACAUGGAAUCCAUGACAUAUUUAGACUUAAGUGAGAACAAACUAACCGGUUCAAUUCCUUCUUCCUUAGGAAAUCUCAAGAACUUGACGGUUCUUUAUCUUCAUCACAAUUAUCUUACUGGUGUCAUUCCCCCGGAACUAGGCAACCUGGAAUCCAUGAUUGAUUUAGAGUUAAGUGACAACAAACUUACCGGUUCAAUUCCUUCUUCCUUAGGAAAUCUCAAGAACUUGACGGUUCUUUAUCUUCAUCACAAUUAUCUUACUGGUGUCAUUCCCCCGGAACUAGGCAACAUGGAAUCCAUGAUUGAUUUAGCGUUAAGUCAGAACAAUCUUACUGGUUCAAUUCCUUCUUCUUUUGGUAACUUUACCAAGCUGGAAAGUUUGUACCUCCGUGAUAACCACCUCUCUGGUACGAUCCCGCGAGGAGUGGCAAACUCUUCAGAGCUAACUGAAUUGCUACUCGACAUAAACAAUUUCACCGGUUUCUUGCCUGAAAACAUUUGCAAAGGUGGCAAGCUUCAGAAUUUUUCAUUAGAUUAUAAUCACCUCGAAGGUCAUAUCCCGAAAAGCUUGAGAGAUUGCAAGAGCCUGAUCAGAGCAAAAUUUGUAGGGAACAAAUUCAUUGGAAAUAUUUCUGAAGCAUUUGGGGUUUACCCAGAUCUUGAUUUCAUUGAUCUCAGCCAUAAUAAAUUCAACGGUGAAAUUUCAAGCAACUGGCAGAAGAGUCCAAAGCUAGGUGCCUUGAUCAUGUCAAACAACAACAUCACAGGUGCUAUUCCACCAGAGAUUUGGAACAUGAAACAACUGGGCGAGCUAGAUCUGUCUACCAACAACCUCACUGGUGAGCUUCCAGAAGCAAUUGGAAAUCUCACGGGUUUGUCGAAGCUACUACUGAAUGGGAAUAAGUUAUCUGGAAGAGUUCCUACGGGUUUAAGUUUCUUAACCAAUCUUGAGUCUCUUGACUUAUCCUCAAACAGAUUCAGCUCCCAGAUCCCACAAACCUUCGACUCCUUUUUAAAGCUUCAUGAAAUGAACCUGAGCAAAAACAAUUUCGAUGGACGCAUUCCCGGACUAACAAAGCUGACUCAGUUAACGCAUCUUGAUCUCAGCCACAACCAGCUCGACGGAGAAAUCCCAUCACAGCUCAGCUCCUUGCAGAGCCUCGACAAGCUCAACCUCUCACACAACAAUCUCUCAGGUUUCAUUCCAACAACUUUCGAGAGCAUGAAAGCGCUGACGUUCAUCGAUAUAUCAAAUAAUAAACUCGAGGGUCCGCUUCCAGACAAUCCAGCGUUUCAAAACGCAACAUCAGAUGCAUUGGAGGGAAACAGAGGCUUAUGCAGUAAUAUUCCUAAACAAAGGUUGAAAUCAUGCCCUAUCACUUCUGGUGGGUUCCAAAAGCCGAAGAAGAACGGCAACCUUCUUGUGUGGAUACUAGUGCCAAUCCUAGGAGCACUCGUCAUUCUCUCUAUAUGUGCAGGCGCAUUUACCUACUACAUUCGGAAACGAAAACCACACAAUGGAAGAAACACAGAUUCUGAAACUGGAGAGAAUAUGUCCAUAUUCAGCGUUGAUGGCAAAUUCAAAUACCAAGAUAUCAUCGAAUCAACAAACGAAUUCGAUCAAAGAUACCUCAUCGGAAGCGGAGGAUACAGCAAAGUCUACAAAGCAAACCUCCCAGAUGCGAUCGUAGCCGUGAAAAGGCUACAUGAUACAAUAGACGAAGAGAUAUCAAAGCCAGUGGUGAAGCAAGAGUUCCUAAACGAAGUAAGAGCGUUAACAGAGAUCCGUCACCGCAACGUGGUGAAGCUCUUCGGCUUCUGCUCCCACCGCCGCCACACGUUUCUGAUCUACGAGUACAUGGAAAAAGGAAGUUUAAACAAACUCUUAGCCAACGAAGAAGAAGCUAAGCGACUCACUUGGACCAAGAGGAUCAACAUCGUGAAAGGUGUGGCUCACGCGUUAUCGUAUAUGCACCAUGACCGAUCAACUCCGAUCGUCCACCGUGAUAUUAGCAGCGGCAACAUCCUUCUCGAUAAUGAUUACACAGCUAAGAUCUCUGAUUUUGGCACAGCGAAGCUUCUCAAGACGGAUUCAUCAAACUGGUCCGCCGUUGCUGGAACCUACGGCUACGUCGCUCCAGGUAAAUCUAAAUCAAUGAAAUUAAAAAAUCCCUAAAUUAAUUCGAAAUUGAAAUUGACUGUUUCUGAACUUUUCGCAACAGAGUUUGCUUACACGAUGAAGGUGACGGAGAAAUGCGAUGUGUAUAGCUUCGGGGUUUUGAUACUCGAGGUUAUAAUGGGGAAGCAUCCGGGAGAUUUGGUUGCGAGUUUGUCUUCGUCUCCGGGAGAAACUCUGUCCCUGAGAAGCAUUUCCGAUGAACGUAUAUUAGAACCACGGGGGCAGAAUAGAGAGAAGCUCAUAAAGAUGGUGGAAGUGGCUUUAUCGUGUUUACAAGCAGAUCCGCAAUCUCGGCCAACGAUGUUAUCAAUCUCUACAGCUUUUUCUUAGAACUCAUCUUCAUCAAUUUCUUCGACGAGGUAAAGAAAAUAACAAACUUUUUUAUAUAUUAUAAAUGUGUUUAUCAAUGCAACCGUAGUUAAAAAUUAAAAUCGUUUUUUUGGAAAGAAGGGAAGAAGAAAGAGAAGUCGUAAGGUGAAAGAAGAAGAAAGAAGAAAAAGACUUUGGGCCAUGUUGCAUUAAGGCCCAAUGUUAAUGGGUUAUUUUGUGUUGGUAAACUUUGAUAAUUAUGAAUUAGUUACGUUAAGAUCAAAUGUAGUAUAUAUAUGUUGUGUGGUUGUAAUAUCUAAUACUACUAUUUUUGCAACACUUUAUUGACGGGUGGGUAAAAAUGCUUCCGAAUAUAUCAGAUACCCGACCCGUUUUAAAAAUUCCUUCACAAAAAAACACUUGGAUCGGAUUAAAUAAAACCCAUUUAUUGCACCGGAUAUUCCAUAUUUAAUAAUUUAGAUAUUUAGAAGAUUUGAUUAAAAUUUAAAAUUUUGAUUCUCCUAUCAUGUUUGUUUGAUUUGUUUUUAACUGUUUUGAAUCAUAAUAUAAUACAUAAAGUAAUAAAAAAAAUCAAAAAAAAAAUCUGCAUAUACUGUGAUUCGAAAUUUUAAAAACGGACAUAUAUUAUCCAAUUGACGAAAAUGUAUGUUCAACGUUCUACAUCGAUUAAAAUAUUUAAACAAUGAUUCAUAAUCAUAUCAUAAAUAAGAUCAACAUUAAUAAAAUAAAUGAGUUUUUUUGGCGGGACGGGUUUUUGAAUCAACAAUAAUAAAAAGAUUAAAUAUCACUAAUCUGUCGCCUCAAUACAGAUUAAAUCCUUAAUUUUUUUUUAAUACCAUUAAUAUUAGACAUAUCAAAUCAGUCUCAUUUAGAAAAUAUUGUAUAAAAUUAAAAAUUGUCCCGUGGUAUAACGUUACUUAAUAACAAUUGUAUACUAUAAAAUAUAAAUGUCUUUGAAAAUGAUACAAUUUACAAACUUUUAUCUAUAAUAAUUAAUCGUUAAAUUUUUAAAAUUUACUAAUAUUAGAAAACAAAUUACGGGACGGGUUAAGAAAUUACAGGACGGGCUAUAUGGUGGACGAGUUUGAAUCAAUAUUUAUAAAAUUUUAAAAUAUCAUUAACAUGUCGCUUUAAUACAGAUUCAAUCCUUAGUUUAUUAAAAUAUAAAUGUCUUAGAGAAUGAUACAAUUUAUAAACUUUAUAUAUAAUAGAAAAUCAUUAGAUUUUAAAAUCACUACUUUUAGAAAACAAAUAACGGGAUGGGUUAAGAAAUUAUGGGACGGGUUAUAUAUAUUUUGGAACGGAUUUAUAUGGCGAACGGGUUUGAAUCAAUAUUUAUAAAAUUUUAAAAUAUCAUUAACAUGCCGCUUUAAUGCGAGUUAAAUCCUCAGUUUAUUAUUGUUCGGUGAACUAGUGAUAUACUGUUACUUGAUAAUAAUUAUAAACUAUAAAACAUAAAUAUUUUAUAAGGAGAUACAAUUUAUAAAAUUUUAUAUAUAUUAACUUUAAAAAAUAAAUCAUCCUGCGGUACACCGCGGGUUAAAAUCUAGUUAUCAUUAAGGAAGUAAGAGGAUAAACUAGGCCUCGGAAAAAUACCCGGAACCGAAUACCCGAACCAAAAAAUCCGAACAAUACCCGAACCGAACCCGAACCCGAUUUUUAAAAAUAUCCGAAUGGGUCCUAACCUCCUACCCGAAAAAAACCCGAACCGAACCCGAACCGAAUCCAAUACCCAAAUGUACCCGAAUAUACCCAAAUACAAAUAUACACCUAAAAAUAUUAGUUAUUUUUAUAUUUAUAAUACCCGAAAUACCUAAAAUUACAAUCAUAAAUCCGAAUAUAUUAGGUAUUUUAGAUAUUUUUGGUUAUAUUUGGGUAAAGAGUAACCAAUGUAUUUUCGAGAAAUCGGGUAUUUCGGUUAGAUUUGGGUAUAUAUGAGUUAAAAACCCGAACUCGACCCGAACCCGAAAAUAUUCCGGGUAUUUUUGGUUAUUUUCGGGUAUUUUGCUUUUUUAUUAAAAUACCCGAACCGACCCGAACCGAACCCGAACCGAAUUUUUAGAAUACCCGAAUGGAUCUUGACCCCCUAUCCGAAUAGACCCGAUACCCGAAAAAAAAGAACCGAACCCGAACGGGUACCCGAAUGCCCAGAUAAACGUUAAGUGGCUAAACCUAGCAAAGUCUAACAACCAUGACCAUCAAACCAUUCAUUGGUAAGUGUUCUCAUACUAGUAACGUAGACAAGUUACCUAGCUUUUUGAAAACACAAGUAAAAUGUGUGUUUAGCUAUCAAAUUGUUCAAACUUUUAUAUGAUGUCCAAACACUUUUAAAAUUGGUUCAAGAGACUAUAAAAUGAAAUAAAUUAAAUGCUACAUGAUUCGUCUAGAUAAAAACCACAUGAUUUUAUCCGAAUCUGAGUGACAAUUUUAGCCCAAACAGAUUCAUUUUGUGACCAAACAAACAUUUGAUUUACGCUACUAUAACUUUAGUUAUGACUAAUGUGGAUUUUUACUAAAUGACAAAAAUAACUCACUUGAUUUACCUAUAUCUUUUUUUCACAAGAAAGAAUCUCUGAACUUUUCAAAAUUUGUUAUUUAUUUAGUAAAAGGUAUUGUUUGUAAUAAAACUAAUAUUCUAAUAUUUAUAAUAUUGUCUUUGAACUUUUUCUUUUGGGCAAACUUUCUCUGAAAUUUUCAAAAUUUGUUAUUUAUUUAGUAAAAGAUAUAGUAAUAUGAGAAAAUUAACACAUAUGCCACAUUUGGCCCAAAUCUUUUCCAUUCUACCACAUUGCAUGCCCAUUUAUCACUUAUACCACAUGUGUCUUGUGUAAUGAUCAUUUUGCCCUUCCUUCUGUGUGCUCAAACUUCGGGGACAAAAUUCAUUGUUUGAACACACAAAAAGAAGCUUACAUACAGUUGUCCCUGAAGUUUGAGCCUUCCACAAUUUAUUUCUGACUGUUUUGUAGGAGGAUCAAUGUGUAACAUUGAUGGUACACACCAUUUGAUAUCUUUUCCUACUUGCUUAUUUUCUUUCCUAGAACCGGAAAUACUUUCUCAUCAAAAUAAUAAUUGGCAAAAUGUGCCGUAAAGACAUCACCAUUAUGUGGUUCUAGGUAUCAUAUAAUUGAUAGAGAAUCAUAGCCAAUAUAUAUACCCAACCUUCUUUGUACGUUGUGGUGGUGCUAUAUGCACAUACACUGCACAACCAAAAAUUUCUUAAAUGUGAUAUAUUUGGUUCUCGACCAAAUGCUAAAUGUAAUGAGGAGUAUUUAUGAUAUGCAAUUGGUUUAUCCGAAUGAGUGAUUCUGCAUGGAAAAUGGCAUGUCCCCAUACAUAGGUUGGAAGUUUUGAUCUCAUGAUUAAUGGUCUUCCAAUCAAUUGCAGACAUUUAAUUAAUGAUUCCGCCAAAUCAUUUUGUGUAUGAACAUGAACUACAGGAUGUUCAACUUCAAUUCCCGUUACCAUAAAAUAAUUGAUAACAUGGGAUUUUCGCUCAUAUUUACUAUUGUUUUCUUAUGUUUUAGGGAGCAUUUAGAGUGAUUUCAGAGCUAAGAAGGAGUUAUUCAAGUAUUUAUGGAGCCAAGAAGGUUUUAAGAGUUUUUGAGCUUUAAAGACCAAUAGGCGAUCAAAACCCGUUUCCAGAUCAAGACAGUUUCUGUGCGUCAGAAGUAUGGCGUCCGUUCGAGGUCUUCCCGAUUACCAAAUCAAGAGAUCUCGGUGGCUAUGGAAAGCUAAAGGAUUCAGAAUUCUCCUCGAAGUGGAAUCAGAGCUUUUCAACGAGCCAAUCCGAAGUUAUGACCAGAAGAGUGAAGACAUGUCCAGACCGGCCAGAAGCUAUGCAACCGAUCCGGAGCUUCUGGGCCACACCGACCACUUGGGCCGAGCUCGGGCUGCCUCUCACUCUCCACACCAGCCCUUAAGACUUCUCCCUUGCAUGAAACUCGAGUUUGCAUUUAAACCUAAUCACGGGAAAAGACGCUUUUACCCCUAGACCUAAUCCUUGGUCUCCAAACCCUAUAAAUACAUGAUGGAAGCCCUAACCCUAGGUGUGCCUUCGAAGUGUCUUCCAAGAGCUGCUGUGAAGCCCUAGAGUUCGUCCUUGCCCUCGCUGUGAGCUGCAGCCGUCGUUCCUUGAAGUUCUGAAGAACCACCAAAUCUCUCUCUCUUUUCUCUUGUUUACUCUAAGACCUAUUAAGGUGAAGUCUUACCUCUUGUAUUCUACAUUCAAAGAAGUAAUCUCUAAACCCUAUUCAGUUCUUAUUCUUCUUUUUCUUAUGAGUUUAUCAAACCUAACUUUGAUGAUCUCUUUAACCAUGCUAGAGUAGUUUUCUAGUUGGGUUUAAAGGGUUAAUCAAAGGGGGGGGGGGAGGGGAAUAUGGCCGAUCGUUUAGGUGGCAAUAUCUAGGGUUUUGUUUGAUCGUUUACACUGUAUUCUUUCUAAGUAAGUUUUUUCUUAAUGCAUGUAGUUAGAUUCAUGUCCUAACUUGUGAUCCCAAGUGUUUAAAUUGCUCACAAGGUUGUUUAAUACGCUAGACCCAGCUUACGAAUGUGUAUCGUGUCAUAACAAGCACACACCACUUAGUUAUAGGGCUUUAUGGACUAGAAUCGAAUUUGAUCUUAUUGCUUUGAUAUAUGCGUCGUUGCCUGCGUUAGUUGAGUAACGGAGUAUAAGGAUUUUAGCCGACUUAUCCUAUAACCUAGUAUAAGCCGAAUCUUAGUGUUUCGUAUGUCCGAGACUUGGAAGUAAACAAACCUAAUUCUAGUAUUACUUAGAUAGCGAUCAUUGAACCCCCUGCGAUACCCUUGACGCCCAACGUUUGUCUCUCAUAGUUUUCUUACGUUAUUUACUUGCUUUUUACUUUGCUUUCUUAUUGCUUUCUCAUUUACUUUUACUUGCAUUUGUGACACCACAACCAACUCCCUUUUAUUGUUUUGUCCUAGCUUUACUUUUUCUUAAUAAGCUUGUCUGAACUACUUCUCUCUCUGUGGAUUCGAUACCCUAAGUACUACGAUUGAUUGCUGUGCACUUGCAGCUUAUUAAUUGUGUUAUAUGGGAUUUUUAAAACCUGAUACGUAUCCCGCACACAUCAAGUUUUUGGCGCCGUUGCCGGGGAGAGAUUGUUAGUUCCACAAGUUUGAGGACUAGAGUAAACUCUAGGACUUUUGCUUUUUAAUUUUUAGUUUUGAUUUUCACUGUUUCAGGAAACCUUACACUUUCGGAGUAAACCUUACACUUUCGGAGUUCUGAGAGCUUUUCCCGAAGAAUAUCAAAACCUUACACUUUCGCAGUUCGUAGCAUUACAAGAGCUUUCGGACGAUCACAUGUACGGACCAACCCUUGGUACGUAUGGGCUGACCCGCGGUGCAUACCGCACUCACCAUUGGAGACUUUGAGCCGAUCGGACCGUCCCGCAGAAACCACCGCUGGACCGGCCACAAAGCCCGUGACCGGGGUGACCCCUUCUGUCCGGACCGGUCACGAGGCACACCAACCGGUCUGGCCCCUGCCCGACCACUUCACGUCUUCCACCACACCAUUCGAUCCUCUGGAGAUCAAAUCAUUGGGAGACACCAUUCACCACGUCAUGGAGCUGCAAACCAUGAUGGAGAGUACUGCUAUCCGCAAGAAGUAAUGAGUGUAGACGUUCACCCGAACAACUACCCUUUUCGCAACCAUGAGUCAUUCGUUCCAAGGAGAGAAGCCACGGAGGAAAAACUUAUGGAGAUCAUGCAGCAGUUACUUGAAUGCCAAGAGAAGGGCAUGAAGGAGAUUGAUUCGAGAUUCACAGAGAUGAAAGCCGAAUUCGAUUCAAAGAUUGGUGCACUUACCGUAGACAUCAAACGUGUAGAAGAACAAGUUGGUGAUGUCAAGAAUGAACUCAUAAACCACUUUGAGGACAUUCAAGACCACAAUACCAAGAUCAUCAACAUGGGAUACUCGAUUGAUUCCGUUGAGAGUCAUCUAAUGUGGAGGAUUGAGGAGAUACAAGAAGGAUUUACUAAUCCUAAUAAGUUUCCCGAGUGGAGAAGUGACCAAUCCUACCAUGACAAAGAGAAAGAAGCCGCAGCCCCCGAUGAGAAUCAUAUCACCGAUUCUAAGUCUAAGGAUAAAGACUACCCCACCGAUGAAGAAGAAGCUUAUUUCAAUGAGCAAAUCAACGAAAGCCGUCUUGAAGACUAUCCAAGAAGGAAUGAUGAGUUUACCGAAUCAUCUAACGAAGGAGAUGAUAGAGAUGAGGAGGAAGAACUCAAAGAUGUCUAUUCUUGUAUGACAACUCGGAUUCCUAAUGAAGAAGUUCCCGAAACCCCUAAUUUCGGACAACUUCGGAACCAUGGAGAGGCUACCUUCCAAGGUAACCUUAGACCACCGCCAUUGAAAUUUUCUCAUUGUGCUAGUGAAGAUUGGGAAUCCAUCCCAAGAAGCCGUGAAGGACGUUUUCAUUCACCUUGUCCAAGGAGGACCGAGAACGAUCAAGAAAGGUUCACACCGAACCGUUUCUCUUUUCGCCAACCAAACCCGCCUAUUCAAGGCCAUUCUCGUGUACCAUGGAGGCAGAAAAGUCAUGAGGAGAAACUUGAGAGCUUGAUGAGCCAAUACUUGGAUCAACAAGCUUUGGACACGAGGACACUACACGCACGAAUCGAUAAGAUCAAUAGUGUUCUUUUAGGUAAGAUCGGUGAGCUAUCUCUUCACCCUAGAAGAAAGAGAGGUCAAAGUGGCCAAGAUGAUAUAAGGAGAAUUCAAUCAAAGGUGAAUGGCAUAAACAGAAGCAUAUGGAGACUUCAAACCCGCAUCAUGAACUUGGAAAGUAACGAUGAGAAAGAAGAUGUGGCUCUAGAAGAUGUAAUUAGACGACAAGGAGAAGUCGAAGAUAACAACAUAAAGUGUAUUGAAGGGCAAUCACACAUCCGAUGUGAUUUGUUACCAUAUAAUAAUCAUGGAAUGUUUGGGAUGUGAAUUCACUAGCGUUGUCUAGUCUAACUCUUUUAAUGGAAUAAUUAGAGAACUGAGCUUUUAAUUUGAUUUUCUGAGUUAUAAAUCUCGCAAAUAUCAAAUUUCGAGAUGACAAUAAACAAACAUGUAACCAUUUGCUAGAUGCGUCAAUCAAUACCAUAAAAUAGUGGAAUGGUCGACAAGGUGGAUGUAUCGGUCCACAUUUAUCAACUUGAAACUCGUUCAAAGAACUUUGGUGAUUCUUUAUCAAUUUUGGUUGACGAUGGUCUUAUGAUCAAUUUUCCAAGAGAACAUGAUACACAUGUCAAUUUAUUUCCUUGAUUUAUCUCAUGAUUUUUCAAUGAGUGUCCAUGUGAGCUCUCUAUGAUUUUCGCAUCAUUGUGUUGCCUGGAUGACCAAGGCGAUCAUGCCAUAAUACGAUUCUAUGGCAUCUAUAUAGGUAUGAUGCAAACCAAAAGAAAGUUCUGGAAAUCUUUCCAAGACAUGCCUUUUUCCAAAUUUAUUAGAAGUUAUACAUAUACCUCUUCCCAUUCUCAGUGGCAGACUGAGUUUCAUAUCCUUGAAGGUAUAUGUCUUGGAAACUCAACAAAUUCUUCUUAGAAUUCGGAGAAUAUAAGGCAUUAUCUAUGGAAAACUUUGUUCCAUUAGGCAAUUUAAAAUUUGCUUUGCCACUUCCUUCGAUCAAGUCCGUAGGAUCCGCUAUUGUAUUGAUAAUAGUUUUUGUCGGUUUUCGAUGAAUUAGUAGAUCGAUAACCUGUUAGGAUUAAUCAAUAGAGUUCUUCACCUUAGGUUGUUCUUAAUGCUAGUUCUAGAGUAGCUAACUAGAACUUGAUCUUAGGAUAAUAGGUUAGAUACGAGAAUGCGCCUGUUACCGGAACUAUCCUAGGUGGACAGAAAUUACUAGAUUCAGACGAGAGUUUGUCUAGGAAUCUAUGUGAACAUAUCAAACCGGAUUUUAAUGCUAGCCUAAUUUUAGGAGUUUACAGACGAGAGUUAGAACUUCCUGCUAUUAGGUUUAGUUAGUCAAUUCAGGCGAGAGUUGGUUGGCUAUAGCUUAGUGAUUUAAGUUCUAGAACGGUUCGAUAAUAAUCCUAAUUUAUUGCUAAGAUCUCUUAUUUGUUUAUUUUCUGAGAAAUUCCCUAAACCUAACGCUUUAAUCUAUAUAAACUUUCAUCAAUUUAAUUGCUCUUUUUAUUUUUAUUUUAUCAUAUUUUAUUUAGCUGAAUUUCGAAACUGAUAGCUUAUUGUGUGAACAAAAGACCUUUGUGGAAUCCGACCCUUAAGUACUAAAGUGAUCUCUUAUUAAAGAGAAAGAGAGUGGUCUUAAGGUUAAUGUUGAUCCGUAUCAUCUACAUCCAUGUCCUCUCCGCCCUCUGCUGAAGGUUUAGAUUCAAUCGGUGGUUGCCCUGAGCUCUUCUCCUCCUUUGACAGUGAUGUUCGUCUCCAUCAGAUUGUUUCUCCCUCCGGAACCUCCUCCAUUACCGCAUCUGCCACAGCCACCAGAUCCAUCUAAAUCCUCGAUGACAAAGAUUUGGGAAUCAUUGCUUGUUAGCCCUUUAUUGAGUCUCACCUGCACCUUUUGGCCUCCUUCUCAUGAUCUGCUCCCUCCUUCCUCCACCUCGUCCCUUCUAGAGAUUGUCGAUCUGUGUUUUCCGGUGGCCCCUCCAUUGACCUUAUCUUGUUGGGCCUGGCCCAUUAUUUAUUCUUCUUGGUGCAGUCAUAAGAUUAUCAUCUUCGUGGGCCUGUUUAGCCUUUGACCCAAUGAAAGAAUGAUUUUGGAGUGCCCUAGUUGGCUAGCGAGAACCAUACUACUGUUUGUGUCUGUCGUCCUCCGCCUCUCCACCAAGCCGCCUUCGUCCCUCGCGUCAUAGGAUACUUCUUCGGCGACUUCAGCGGAUACUUCUCCGGCCUCUUCACUGGAUACUUCUCCAACUUCUUCUGGUUCAGAUUUUGCCUUUUUCCGACAAAGUUUGUUUAUCGGAUACUUCACCGACGUCUUCAUAUCUGCGUUUGCGGCAGAUCCAGGUUGUGUCAAGCCUAGAACCGCAUUUGUUGGUUCGAAUUUCGUCUUAAAGUCACAUUGUUUGAUGACUAUAUCUUUACCAGUUGAUGAUUAUGUGUUGAAUGUAUUUUCUCUCAUAAGCAUGCUCGUGAUAGUUUGGUUUGACAUUUCUCCUGGUACCCUAUCAAUCAGAUACUUCACCGAUGUCUCCAUAUCUUCGUUUGCGGCGUAUCCAGGUUGUGUCAAGCCUAGAACCGCAUUUGUAGGUUCGAAUUCGUCUUACCGUCACAUUGUUUGGUGACUAUAUCUUUACCAGUUGAUGAUUAUGUGUUGAAUGUGUUUUCUCUCAUGGGCAUGCUCGUGAUAGUUUGGUUUGACAUUUCUCCUGGUACCCUAUCAAUCUCCAUCGAGCUUGUGUCUCUAUGUUUAAUUUAUGUCUGCGUUUGUACUUUAUCUUCCAAGUUUGCUAUUCGGGUCUGUCCGAAUAUGCCUAAUCCUCUUGUAUCCUUCUAGUUUGAUAUAAGAUUUUGGUGCACAAAACAAAAAAAGAAACAACAUUAUUUUAAAACAACUGAAAUACAUAAUACUUAUAUAAUAACAUUAUCGGAGACUAGUAGUCACUACAAGCAUUUUAAUUAUCCGAUGAGCGGUCAAAUUAAUCUUUUCCGCUAUUAGAAGUGCCACAAACAAAUUCAAGAAUUUGGUGUACUCGCACGACAUAUAUAGUACUCGCUGGGUAAUUUGGUUUUCAUGAAAUGCGGCAUAUGUUUUCUCAAACAUUUGAGAAUCGGUGAUAAUAUCACCAUAAUAUUUUAGUUUAACCACAAUUUCCAUCAUAGCGGAAUUAUAAUCCAUCACUUUGGGUAUUUUUUCUCUUUUAUGCUUUUCAUUGAGCCAAGAGAUAGUAAAUGUAUUUUGACGUAAGCAAUCCAAAAUAUAUAAUCAGCCACAGUAAUAUUUAGAGUUUUCCUUUUCUUGACCCGUCGAAGUAUUUUUCUCUUUUACUUUUUUUCUUUUUUUCUCAUUUUUUUUCUUUUCACUAGGCGACAUACUGUCCGGUAUAAUACAGUUUUUUUUUCGGCGAUGAUAGAGUAAUUGUGCCAAUAACAUGUUAUAAAUAAUUACUUUAUUUUAUAGUGAAUAUAAAUAAUAAAUAAGAGAGAAAUUUUAUACUCACUGAAUGAUCGGAUACUGAAAAAUAAAGAGACGAGAGAGAUAUGUUUAUUACUUCUCUUGUAAUUGAAGUAAUUUGGGCUCCACACAAAUUAUAUUUUACUCGUAAAAUUUUUUACGUGUAAGCUUCUAUUGUUGACGCUUGAUAUUGUUGACGUUUGUUUUUAUGACUUUUGUAACAAUAUGAAAUUUUUAAAAAUUUAAUCGAAUAACACCAAAACUUUUAAAAAAUGUAAAGCAUGAUUUACAAAUUACAAUUAUCAUAAUAAAGAACAUGAGAUUUUAAUGCAUAAUUUAUAAUAAAUAACUGAAUAAUAACCGAUUGUGCAUAAAUUUAAGUUUUAUUACAUGAUUGAAUAAUACCCCUAAACACCAUUAUCAUUCUACCUAUAAAAUUAAAAAACCUACACAAUUUGAGCUAUUAAAAUCCUUAAAAAAAAAAAUUGAAGAUUGUUACAAAAGAGGAAGACUAUAAGAAAACGUAUGCUAAGAAAAAAAAAACUUUUGAAUACGACUACAUUAGAUUGUUUUUCUUCCGUGAAACAAAAGUCAAGCGAAUUGUGGGAAAAAAAAAAAAAGAAGUAAUAGUUAAUGAUGAAUAAAUUACCACUACCCGGUCGUCACUGACUCGCAAGUCUUCUUGGCCAAUAUUAUCUUCCAAAACACAAUGACCAAUAUUCAUUCACUCAACAGAAUGUUCAACGAAGAACCCGUAAGCACUUUUUUAUACCUGAUUUCGUAAUUUCACAAAGUAAAAUAGUAAUUCGAACCCACUUUUCUAUACCUUCAUUAUCAAGGAGACGACUCCAAGUCAAUCACUGAGUGCACAUGAGAGAUUAUUAAAUAGCCAGAACUUGGAUAGCUUUCUCUAACACCAAGAGAGAAAGAGAAGAGAGAGAGAGUGAGAGUAAGUGAGGAUGGGUUUUGCAGAGAAUAAUCCUAAUGAUCUUCUUUUUCUUUUGUUCAUAUCAAUAAUUUUGAGCUGUUCUAUUUCAGCUUCUGCAACUAUCGCGGAAGCAAAUGCUCUUCUGAAAUGGAAAUCCACUUUCACGAACCAGAAACGCUCAUCAAAGCUGUCUUCAUGGGUCAAUGAUGCAAACACCAAUACUAGCUUCUCAUGCACAAGUUGGUAUGGUGUUUCCUGCAACUCACGAGGGAGUAUCAAAAAGUUAAACCUCACUGGCAACGCUAUAGAAGGUACUUUCCAAGAUUUCCCCUUCUCUUCUCUCCCAAACCUUGCUUACAUUGAUUUUAGCAUGAACCGUUUCUCUGGAACCAUCCCUCCUCAAUUCGGAAACCUCUUUAAACUCAUCUACUUUGACCUCUCCACAAACCACUUAACUAGAGAAAUCCCACCUGAGCUUGGCAAUUUGCAAAACCUCAAAGGCCUCUCUCUUUCUAAUAACAAACUUGCCGGUUCAAUUCCUU
rnacentral:lncRNA from 1 species